rnacentral:rRNA from 1 species
GACGUAGGUGGCGAACGUUAUCCGGAAUUAUUGGGCGUAAAGGGUGCGUAGGUGGCUUGACAAGUUAUCAGUGGCAAAUCGAGGCCCAACCUCGUGGAAACUGGUAAUACUGUCCGGCUUGAGUACAGGAGAGGUUAACGGAACUCUAUGUGGAGCGGUAAAAUGCACAGAUAUAUAGAAGAACAUCAAUAAAGGCGAAGGCAGUUAACUAUUCUGUUACUGACACUGAGGCACGAAAGCGUGGGGAGCAAACAGG